AUACUGGUCCAUACUGGUUUAUACUGGUCCGUACUGGUCCGUACUGGUCCAUACUGGUUUUUACUGGUUUCCACUGGUCCCGCAGCUCCCUGGCUCCCUCCCUGGACCAAUCAGUGACGCACGUGGUGACGUCACAGGGCUGGGACCCCGCCUUCGAGGAGGCGCUGGAGCUCCGCCCCUCGCUGCUCUUCGUGCGCCCCCAUUGGCUGCGGCUCUGCGGGGAGCGGCUCCGCCCCCUGCCGGCCCAGCCCUUCCUGGUGACGUCAUCGGAGGAGCGGUGACGUCAUCGCCGCGGACACGCCCCCUUUGUAAACCACGCCCCCUUUGCUUAGCGCUAAUAAAGAGAAUUUGGGUAUUAA